AGAUUGAACGCUAGCGGGAUGCUUUACACAUGCAAGUCGAACGGCAGCGCGGACUUCGGUCUGGCGGCGAGUGGCGAACGGGUGAGUAAUAUAUCGGAACGUGCCCAGUAGCGGGGGAUAACUACGCGAAAGCGUGGCUAAUACCGCAUACGACCUACGGGUGAAAGCGGGGGAUCGCAAGACCUCGCGCUAUUGGAGCGGCCGAUGUCGGAUUAGCUUGUUGGUAGGUAAAGCCUACCAAGGCUACGAUCCGUAGCUGGUCUGAGAGGACGACCAGCCACACUGGACUGAGACACGGCCCAGACUCUACGGGAGCAGCAGUGGGAAUUUGGACAUGGGCGAAAGCCUGAGUCCAGUCCAUCGACCGCGUGACGGGAAGAACGGCCGUUCGGGUUAGUAAACCGUCUUUUACGGUACGACGGUAAAGGUAAACCGGUUACG
rnacentral:rRNA from 1 species